GGUAGUUUUGUCCCCUCCGGCCCCGCGGCUGCGCGGGUACAGCUGCGGCGUCUCUGCAGAGGGAGCUCCGUCUCCUGGGGCCCCUCUGGGACCUCGGCUCAGGAUGGUGUGGAGCUGCGUCUGUGCCGUCGCGAGCCGGGUUCCCUGCCGACUGGGCGACGCGGGAGGAAAAGGGUUCCCCAAAGCCUCUGCCUGCCUUCUGCAGCUGAGCUGCUUCAGCCUCUGGGGGACACCCAUUUGAAGGAACCUGUCCAAAUCCAUGUAAGAGAUCUCCUAUUUUUUCCCUCCCACCUGAGGCUCUUCCUCCUCACCAGACACCUGUUCCAAGGAAGCUCCUGCAACAAGAGAUCUCCUCAAGCUUUUUCUUCCCUCCCACUUGAUGCUCUCCCUCCUCGGCCAGACACCUGCUGCAGGGAAGCUACCUCAAGCCAGGUAACUUUUAUAAAGGCUGGAUGGUCCUUGG
rnacentral:lncRNA from 9 species